rnacentral:rRNA from 1 species
UCUGGUGAUUAUAGCGAGGCGCCCCCACCCGAUCCCAUCCCGAACUCGGCCGUGAAACGCCUCAGCGCCGAUGGUACUGCAUCAAUGGAUGUGGGAGAGUAGGUCGUCGCCAGGC